GAGAAUCUUGUCCUAACAUGAGCAAGAUCGAAGGCCCGAUUAUUUAGAGACCGGAUGGGGGGAGAGGCCCUUGCAAUGGCCCUUACGUGCCACCACAGUCUUGUUAGGAAUAAGAGGAAAAUCUCAUCCUAACAUAAGCUGAAAUUAAUUAUGUCAGAAACAGGAGGAGAACCUCAUCCUGACACAAAUGAAGACCUGGUC
rnacentral:lncRNA from 1 species